AUUGAACGCUGGCGGCAGCCCUAACACAUGCACGUCGAACGAGUGGCUGACGGGUGAGUAAUGUCUGGGAAACUGCCUGAUGGAGGGGGAUAACUACUGUAAACGGUAGCUACUACCGCAUACCAUCAGAUUUGCCCAGAUGGGAUUAGCUUGGUGGUGGGGUACCGGCUCACCAAGGCGACGAUCCCUAGCUGGUCUGAGAGGAUGACCAGCCAGACAGGAACGGAGACACGGUCCAGACUCCUACGGGAGGGAGCAAUGGGGAAUAUUGCAAAAUGGGCGCAAGCCUGAUGCAGCGAGGGGGAGUGUAUGAAGAAGGCAUUAGGGUUGUAAAGUACUUUGAGCGGGGAGGCGUUAAACGCAGAAGAAGCACCGGCUAACUACGUGCCAGCAGCCGAAGUAAUAC
rnacentral:rRNA from 1 species